AAAAACAGUGAGCAGAAACCUCAAUUGUUACCUCAUCAGAAAGAACACAUGACAACAGGUCAUUAAAACAAGAAAUCCUGGGAAAUAUCUGCUAAGGACUUCCUGGAAAUAGAGUGACCUCAGUUUCCAAGAAAACCCUUUGUAAACUAGUUUGUAGUGGAAGAGAAAUCAAUCAUAGUUCAACAUCACACAGAGAUAAAAAAGGAGUUCACAAUACUGUACGAUAGUUCUGCCGGAGAAGGAAGACACUGCU